rnacentral:lncRNA from 1 species
AGGGGUGCUGAAGGACUCAUUCAACAUUUAAAUGAUCUCCUCUGGCUGCGCAUCCUCAAACUUAUGACUAAGUUCAUCAUUCAUGGCUGCCCUCAUCACGCAACGUACGGUCAUAUGAUCAUUGAGCCACUUCAUGUAAGUGUCUCUUGUGGCAUGAGGAGCAUUGGCUAUAGGUUCUUCAGGUGUCUGAUCUGUAAGGACAUAUAAAAUCCUCUCAUGCUUCAACACGAUCUUCAACUUUCGAUACCAGCUAUCGAAGUUGGAUUUGGUGAGCCUAUC